rnacentral:rRNA from 1 species
UACGGAGGGUGCAAACGUUGCUCGGAAUCAUUGGGCGUAAAGCGCACGUAGGUGGUCUGUUAAGUCGGGUGUGAAAUCCCUGGGCUCAACCCAGGAAGUGCACUCGAAACUGGCAGGCUUGAGUACUGAAGAGGGUCGCGGAAUUCCCGGUGUAGAGGUGAAAUUCGUAGAUAUCGGGAGGAACACCAGUGGCGAAGGCGGCGACCUGGGCAGAUACUGACACUGAGGUGCGAAAGCGUGGGGAGCAAACAGG